rnacentral:tRNA from 2 species
UCCGAUAUAGUGUAGGGGCUAUCACAUCACGCUCUCAUUCAGAGCACCGUGGAGACCGGGGUUCGAUUCCCCGUAUCGGAG